rnacentral:ncRNA from 1 species
GAUUGGAUUGAGCCUUAGUAUGGAAACCUGCUAAGUGGUAACUUCCAAAUUCAGAGAAACCCUGGAAUUAAAAAUGGGCAAUCCUGAGCCAAAUCUUUGUUUUGAAAGAAGAAACGAUGGAAAAUGAGAAGAAAAAGGGAUAGGUGCAGAGACUCAAUGGAAGCUGUUCUAACGAAUGAAAUUGACUACGUUACGUACGUUACGUUAGUAGCUAAAAUCUUUCUAUCGAAAUGACAAAAAGGAUAACCUUAUAUACCUAAUACGUACGUAUACAUACUGAUAUAGCAAACGAUUAAUCACAACCCAAAUCUUCUAUUUCUUCUUUCUUUAGAUUUCUUCUUUCUUUAGAUUCUAGAUUAUCUCUAUUCUAGAAUAGAGAAUAUUUAUCUAAUAGAUUUAGAUAAUCUAUUAGUCUAAGUAUCUAAGUAUAUAUAGAAGUAUCUAAGUAUAUAUAGAAGUCUAAGUAUAUAUAGAAAGUCUAAAGAAAUAAGAUGAGAUAAGGAUCUAUAGAAACCCUCUAGUUCUAUAUUUCUAUUCUCUAUGAAUUAGAAUGAUAGAGAUCAAAAAUUAUAUGAAAAAUUGAAGAGUUAUUGUGAAUCAAUUCCAAUUGAAGUUGAAAAAAGAAUCGAAUUCAAAUAUUCAGUGAUCAAAUGAUUCAUUCCAGAGUUUGAUAGAUCUUUUGAAGAUUAAUCGGACGAGAAUAAAGAGAGAGUCCCAUUUUACAUGUCAAUACCGACAACAAUGAAAUUUAUAGUAAUAGGAAAAUCCGUCGAAUUUUUAAAUCGUGAGGGUUCAAGUCCCUCUAUCCCCA